ACUCUAAUAGUUUACAACAAAACAUU
rnacentral:tRNA from 1 species